UGCAGCCGGCUCCUCUCAAAUGAAUCAGCUUGCCAGUGUUUGGUGGCAUCGUGAGUGUGAUAACUAUCUACGCUUGUGGUCGUCUGCCAGGUAACCUUCAGCGAUGGAGGUUCGCUGGGGCUUAUAAAUGUCUCUCCUCAGUGAAGACAGCUUUUUGAACGUUCGAUCUCAAAUCAGGUAGGACUACCCGCUGAACUUAA
rnacentral:misc_RNA from 1 species